UACGGAGGGUGCAAACGUUGUCCGGAAUCACUGGGCGUAAAGAGCAUGUAGGUGGCUAGAUAAGUGAAUGAUCAAAGACCGAUGCUUAACAUCGGGCCGGUUGUUCAUACUGUCUGGCUUGAGGAUGACAGGGGUAAGCGGAACUUUAGGUGUAGGAGUGAAAUCCGUAGAUAUCUAAAGGAACACCAAUGGCGAAGGCAGCUUACUGGGUCUUUUCUGACACUGAGAUGCGAAAGCGUGGGGAGCGAACGGG
rnacentral:rRNA from 1 species